GCCAUGCAACUUCUACCUGGCUCUCCUGGGGCACUUAUCUUGGGGAAAGCCAGUGCCCAUGCAGGAAGAACAAGUAACCUGCACCCACUGCGCUGCAGAUGCUUCAUGAAAGGACUUUGGUCUUCAGUCCCAGUUUGAGCCCUACAAUCCAGGCGUCCCCACCAAGGCACCAGACAUGUCAGUGAGGUUGUCCUGGUCCCUCCAGAUCAGCCCUUCUGCCAGCUGAGAGCCACUUAGGGACCUUGGUAAAUGCCAGGAGGAACAAAAGAACCACCCAGGAGAAAAAUACCAAUGCCUAGGAGUUGGAAACAAUCCAGAAGCUUCCCAGAGCCUACUGAACAACCCAGGAGCAGUGGCAGAGGCUCCAAAGCUGGGUGCCACUUGACCGUGAAAUGCCAGAUCUGUCUUCGGCUGCUGUAACAAAGUGCCAGAACCUAAG
rnacentral:lncRNA from 1 species